AGGUCCAGCCUGCCCAGUGACUUAUUUCAACGGCCGCGGUAUCCUAACCGUGCGAAGGUAGCGUAAUCACUUGUUCUUUAAAUAAGGACUAGUAUGAAUGGCAUCACGAGGGUUAUACUGUCUCCCUUUUUUAAUCAGUGAAACUAAUCUCCCCGUGAAGAAGCGGGGGUAGCAUUAUAAGACGAGAAGACCCUAUGGAGCUUUAAACUAAGCAACAAAUGUUUUUCACAUAUUUACCUCAAGAGCCCUAAAAAACAUUUAAAUAUUAUGAUUGCAAGUUUUCGGUUGGGGUGACCGCGGAGCACAACACAACCUCCACGAUGAAAGAACCUAAAAUUCUUAACCCAGAAUUACAAUUCAAAGUAUCAAAAAUUUGACAUUCUUUGAUCCAAUCAAUUGAUCAACGAACCAAGUUACCCUAGGGAUAACAGCGCAAUCCACUUCAAGAGCCCCUAUCGACAAGUGGGUUUACGACCUCGAUGUUGGAUCAGGGUAUCCCAGUGGUGCAGCCGCUACUAAAGGUUCGUUUGUUCAACGAUUAAAACCCU
rnacentral:rRNA from 1 species